rnacentral:lncRNA from 1 species
CCCGGCCCCGCCUGAGCCCUCGCUGGCAGCGGCGAUCGCGAUCGGAGCGCCCACCCGAGCCUUCCCCCCCACGGGCAAGGAAAGUGAAGUGGAAACAAUGUGAAAUUCACCAGCUCUGAAAUCAACAAGCUGCCGGCUCGGGAGCUACGGAGCCAACAGCGGCGUCCCCAUUUAAAGGGACAGCGCACCCGGUGGAGAGAAGAAAUAAAUACUCGAAGAGGUCUGCGCGCCCGGAUCGCUCGCCAGCGUGUGUUCCGCAGACGCGCGAGGUGCGGACGUGUUCUCUCCACACCUCCGCCGCCCCCACUGGGCUCGCCAAGCGCAUUCAAGGAUAAAAGAGUCUUCUCGGCGGCUUCUAAGGGCGUGUCCCCGCGAGGACGUCUGUCUGCGGGCGCGUUUGCAUCUCUACCCCGGGAACCCCGACACCUUUAGAUGGCGAAAGGAACCUACCUGCUUUAAGGAAUAUGAAACCGAUCUUCUCUUUUGAAGGAAAGAGAUGAAAGGAAGAAUGAAGAGAAAGACAAUUACUGAAAGAUGUUCAAGAAUGUCUGAACUUUGUUUAAAAAAUAAUGCAUACAUCCAGAGUUUUGAAGAAUGCCUGAACAGUCCACCGUCUACGGAAGUACUAAGGACAAGAUUUUUAUCCCUGUUCAGAUACUAGAAUCUCUCCUAAAAUAGAGUGAACAACCUCAGGGAUGAUCAUCAGGAGCUCAAUCCCAGAGUACGAAGACUCCAAAGUCACUUUCAGAAUGGCAGUGAAGAUGGAAGGUCGCUCGGCUCUGGAAUCUGUGCAGAGGAUUGGUGCAACACACUUCUGGGUCUGUUCAAGAGAGUCAUGGAGGCAGGUCCAGUCACAAGAAGAAACACCUUGCUGAGCAUCACACAUGGUCCGGAGGUGGAUGAACACUUGCCUCUCUCUGGUGCCCUUUCUAGGACUGUUCCUUCUCUUUAGUUGGUUGGCUGAGUAUUUGGUUUGCACUUUUUUUUUUUCUAAUUUGGGUUGUUAUUUUUCUUUUUCCACUUAUGAAUGUAGGGCUUUCAUUUGUCUCUUACACUACUGCUGGUUUCCAUUGCUGUAAGUAGCAUUUGCCCAGGUAAAACAUUUCCCCUUCAGGUUUAAGACAAAGCUGGUUUCUUCCAAUAAGUAUGAAGGAUGGAAGGAGGGAAUUGAGGUCCCAGGUUCUCAGCAACAAUUUCUCCUUCCGAAAGGUUCUGCUAGCUUGGCCUCAACGCUAUCUCCCCUACCCACCCCUUCCCCCAGUACUGGACUAGAACACAAGGCAUUUGCACCGAGUUACAUUCCCAGAGCUUUUUAAAUUUUAGAAUAGGCUUGCCAAGACACUAACUCUCCCAGGCUGGGCUGGAACUUGCCAUCCUCCUGUUUCAGCCUCCCAGAAUGCUGAAAUUAUAGGUGCGUGCCAUCAUGCCUGGCUAAAGCUAUCAUUUUUUAAAUGGCAGAGAAGGUCUUUGGCUGUCUAAGGAAAACACAAGCCAUUGGCAUUCUUUAAAUGUGUCUAGAGCUAUGUUCCUGAGUUGCUCCCUCAGAAUCACCAACCCUGCCUGCUCUUUGACUUCUGUGGGAAAGGGAAAGAACACCUUCAGUGAAAGACAGCCCGUGACAUUACUGCCUGUGAAGCAGAGGGGAAGGACCUCCAUGUCAGAUGCAGGCAAAUGCAGGAAGGCAGGGUAGGACCCUCUCCACCACUCCCAUCUGCCUCUAUUCCAGGAAGCUCCUUCUGCUCCUGCCAGCUCCACUGGAGCUGUGUUCCAGUGGGCAAAGAAGGAAACAUCUACCUUUUACUAUUCUACUCACUAUCACAUUAAAUAGACUUGGAGUGCUUCCUGCCAUAUACUCUUCUUGGCAUUGGGGUAGAGAAAACGGAUGAGUUUCCUGCCCUCAAAAAGUCUGAUAAAUGUUAUGUUACAGAUAUUUCACUACAAUUACAAUGCUUGAUGUAAUAUUCAUACACCUUAAAAAGUUUAUCAGCUACAGCAACACAGACAGUAAGCAAGUAAACAAACAAAAGUGAUCAGUACAGGUCGGGAUUGUUACGAAAGAGAUGGGCAUCCGACGGAUGAUGGUGGGAUGUGAGGGAGCAUUGAGAUGGGAAAUAACUGUACCUGGAAGAGUCCUCAAGCUUUUCUAAGGUGGUGACCUGAGGAAGAAGGCAUCAGUUGUGUGAAGUCAAAAUUGUCCCAGGCGGAGCCAGCUGCAUGUUCAAGGGUACUGAGACAAAAAAGAACGUGGGUCUUCCGGUUCACUGUUUGCAGGGCAGUGCUGGGCUUAUUGUCUUCUACACGGGAAUUCCUGGAAGUUAGCACUGCCGCCUCCUCCGUCUCUCCUACAGUGGUGCCGAGCGCAGUCUCUGGCUAACACAGCCAGCAAUUUGGCUGAUUUACUUGGGGAUUUGACUUCAGAACUCUUUGAACUUAAGGUGAGUUCAGAGAAGUUAAGUGAUUUCCAUGGACCCCUUGAUUCCAGUCUUCAAAGCCAAUGCACCAAUUCAAUAUUUUCCUGUUAUUGCAAGUUUUCUUCUUAUUAUAACUAAACCAGAAGUGUCCUUCGGGAAUUCCAUUUCCUUAGUUAUGAAUAGAAGUGACUUAAUUAUUAUAGAUUCAGCCAGGUGACCUGAGGAUAACAGAAACAAAUUGCUGAACUGGGAAAGCAAGAUUGAAAUGCUGUGGUUCCUCUCUGGGUUAGCACUUACCUCUGGCAUGUCUGAUAUUUGAUUGAUAGUUUCAGCUUCCUUCAGUAUUAUAUAUUUUUAUGUGUGGAUGUCUGUACAGAUGUAUGCAUUUAUAACAUAGUAACAGUAACAUACAAUAAACUACACAUAUACAAGACACCUGUGAACUAGCCUCACACACAAAAAUGAAUAUUCACCAUUUUCCAAAUUUUCUUCCUGCCAUGCUGUAAUCUGUCCUUUUUUUUGCUCUUCCUCCUUCCAGAGGAAGCUAUUUAUCCACCUUCAGCCCAAGGAUUAAAUGGCACUUUCUAGCAUUUCAUAUAAAUGGAAAUAUACAGUAUGUACUAUUUUUGUUCUGACUUAGUUCUCUGGACAUAUUAUUAUUUAUUUUGAGAUUCAUUCAUGUUGUCUAUAUUCACAGUUCAUUGCUUUUGUUUCAUUGUGUGGAUAACCCAGUUUGGGUUUAUUAAAAAUAAAGUUGCAUCCAGGUGUGGUGAUGCACACCUGCAACCCAGCACUCUGGGAGGCUGAGUCAGGAGGAUCACAAGUUUAAGCCCAGCCCGGGCAACUUAGUGACUUAGCAAGACCCUGUCUCAAAAUAAAAAUUGGGGGGAUAAAGGCUGGGAAUCUAGCUCAACGCAAUGGCCCUGGCUUCAAUCCGCAGUACCACAAACAAACAACAAACUAAUUAAUCAAUAGAUAAAAUUGCUAUGAACAUUUACACAAAUCUUUGCAUAGUAUAUGCUUUGCUUAUUAUGAGUAAUACCUGGCUGGCUCACAUGAUAAAGAACCACCAUGCUUCCUUUCCAAUGGUAUUAUACCAUUUCAAAUUCUUGUAGUGAUGUAUGAAAGUUCAAGUUACUCUCUGCCACAAUUGGCCACUCUGCCACAAUUUGGUAUGCUCAGUCUUUUUAGUAUUAGCAAUUUUAAUAGGUCUGCAGUUGUAUCAGCAGUGGUUCUUUCAAUGAUUUUUAGUUUUUUGAGACAGGGUCUUGCUAUGUAGUUCAGGCUGGCCUUGAACUCACCCUGUAUCACAGGCUGGCCUCAAACUCACAGCACUCCUCCUGCCUCAGCCUCCUGAGGGCUGGGAUUACAGGCAUGUGCCUCCAUGCUCAAUGAUGUUGGACAUUUUUUCCUGAGCUUAUUUGACAUAGGAUAUCUUCUUCCUAAAAUAUGUUUAAAUAAUUUUCCUG